rnacentral:rRNA from 1 species
GACGAACGCUGGCGGCGCGCCUAACACAUGCAAGUCGAACGAGCGAGAGAGAGCUUGCUUUCUUGAGCGAGUGGCGAACGGGUGAGUAACGCGUGAGGAACCUGCCUCAAAGAGGGGGACAACAGUUGGAAACGACUGCUAAUACCGCAUAAGCCCACGACCCGGCAUCGGGUUGAGGGAAAAGGAGCAAUCCGCUUUGAGAUGGCCUCGCGUCCGAUUAGCUAGUUGGUGAGGUAACGGCCCACCAAGGCGACGAUCGGUAGCCGGACUGAGAGGUUGAACGGCCACAUUGGGACUGAGACACGGCCCAGACUCCUACGGGAGGCAGCAGUGGGGAAUAUUGCACAAUGGGGGAAACCCUGAUGCAGCGACGCCGCGUGGAGGAAGAAGGUCUUCGGAUUGUAAACUCCUGUUGUUGAGGAAGAUGAUGACGGUACUCAAAAAGGAAGUGACGGCUAACUACGUG